rnacentral:rRNA from 1 species
GAUGAACGCUGGCGGCGUGCCUAAUACAUGCAAGUCGAGCGAACAGAUAAGGAGCUUGCUCCUUUGACGUUAGCGGCGGACGGGUGAGUAACACGUGGGUAACCUACCUAUAAGACUGGGAUAACUUCGGGAAACCGGAGCUAAUACCGGAUAACAUUUGGAACCGCAUGGUUCUAAAGUGAAAGAUGGUUUUGCUAUCACUUAUAGAUGGACCCGCGCCGUAUUAGCUAGUUGGUAAGGUAACGGCAUACCAAGGCAACGAUACGUAGCCGACCUGAGAGGGUGAUCGGCCACACUGGAACUGAGACACGGUCCAGACUCCUACGGGAGGCAGCAGUAGGGAAUCUUCCGCAAUGGGCGAAAGCCUGACGGAGCAACGCCGCGUGAGUGAUGAAGGGUUUCGGCUCGUAAAACUCUGUUAUUAGGGAAGAACAAACGUGUAAGUAACUGUGCACGUCUUGACGGUACCUAAUCAGAAAGCCACGGCUAACUACGUG